rnacentral:rRNA from 1 species
GACGAACGCUGGCGGCGUGCUUAACACAUGCAAGUCGAACGGAAAGGCCCUGCUUUUGUGGGGUGCUCGAGUGGCGAACGGGUGAGUAACACGUGAGUAACCUGCCCUUGACUUUGGGAUAACUUCAGGACACUGGGGCUAAUACCGGAUAGGAGCUCCUGCUGCUUGGUGGGGGUUGGAAAGUUUCGGCGGUUGGGGAUGGACUCGCGGCUUAUCAGCUUGUUGGUGGGGUAGUGGCUUACCAAGGCUUUGACGGGUAGCCGGCCUGAGAGGGUGACCGGCCACAUUGGGACUGAGGUACGGCCCAGACUCCUACGGGAAGCAGCAGUGGGGAAUAUUGCACAAUGGGCGGAAGCCUGAUGCAGCAACGCCGCGUGCGGGAUGACGGCCUUCGGGUUGUAAACCGCUUUCGCCUGUGACGAAGCGUGAAUGACGGUAAUGGGUAAAGAAGCACCGGCUAACUACGUG